AUUGAACGCUGGCGGCAGGCCUAACACAUGCAAGUCGAGCGGACGAAGGGAGCUUGCUCCUGGAUUCAGCGGCGGACGGGCGAGUAAUGCCUAGGAAUCUGCCUUGUAGUUGGGGAUAACGUCAGUAAACGGGCGCUAAUACCGCAUACGUCCUGAGGGAGAAAGUGGUGGAUCUUCGGACCUCUCCCUAUCAGCUGAGCCUAAGUGGGAUUAGCUCGUUGGUGGGGUAAAGGCCUACCAAGACGACGUUCCGUAACUGCCCUGCCGGGAUGAUCAGUCACACUGGAACUGAGACACGGUCCGGACUCCUAGGGGCGGCAGCAGUGGGAAUAUUGGGCAAUGGGCGAAAGCCUGAUCCAGCCAUGCCGCGUGUGUGAAGAAGGUCUUCGGAUUGUAAAGCACUUUAAGUUGGGAGGAAGAGCAGUAAGUUAAUACCUUGCUGUUUUGACGGUACCAACAGAAUAAGCACCGGCUAACUUCGUG
rnacentral:rRNA from 1 species